ACUUAACGCACAAUUCACUAAAAGGACACGCGUCAAAAUUUAGACGCGAUGCUGUUUGCGUUAUUUAACUCGUGAAGAGUGUUUUUGUGCGGUAAUUUACGCAGCACUCGGUAAUUUACACAGCACACGGUAAUUUACACACGCGCACAGUAAUUUAUGCAUGCAGAAUUAUGGUGCUAAAUUCUGCACUCAAGCGUUACGCGUCAUAUACCUCAUGACUAAUGCCAUUUUGCGCAGUUGCGCUGUGAGUGAAGAGAUGGAGAGCGCACAAGGUGCAGGUGCGCAACGCAAGGCGACACAAGCCAUGGAGAGGAGGGAUGAGAACGAUGCUGAAGCCAGCAGUGGCAGGCUGAAACAGGUGGCAAAACACCAAGAUCUGGAACUGGAGGUGGCCCUUCAAAAAAAGUAUUCUUCACGAGGUAUGAGGAGCAGCUCCUACCUUUUAUCCAUGGAGAGAGUGUGACUGGUGUGGCCGGCAUCUUUGAUUCGGACAGGAAUGUCACCACAGAUCCAAGGUUCAAGAGGUCACUCGACUGUACAGUCAGCAAGCCAGCUCCGCAGAGAACCCCAACAAUCGCCUGGAAUGGAAAAGAGAGUGUUUAUUGUUGAUGAUAAUGCAAGACAGUGUCCUGAAAAUAGCUCAUUUAUUUGCAAGGAAUGACUGAAGUACAAACUUCUAUAAAGUUUACUGGAACCAUGAAAGGGAAAAGAAUGACUAAUCAGGACCAGGAAUGGAAAAAUGCUGAUACCAGACAAUGCAGAGUAUACCAUACUGUUGUCAAAAUAAACAAUAGCAGGGAAAUAAAGGGGCUG